rnacentral:miRNA from 1 species
UCGGGGUAUUCCACAAAAAAUUACCCUGCGGGAUGAAAUAUUCCUCGGGCAUCGCCCUCGGAAUAUUUCAUCCCUCAGGGUAAUUUUUUGUGGAAUACCCCU